AUACGGAGGGUGCAAGCGUUACUCGGAAUCACUGGGCGUAAAGCGCGCGCAGGCGGCUAUUUAAGUUGGAUGUGAAAGCCUACGGCUCAACCGUAGAACUGCAUCCAAAACUAUUUAGCUAGAGUGUGGGAGAGGAAGAUGGAAUUAGUUGUGUAGGGGUAAAAUCCGUAGAGAUAACUAGGAAUACCAAAAGCGAAGGCGAUCUUCUGGAACAGUCCUGACGCUGAGGCGCGAAAGCGUGGGGAGCAAACAGGAUUAGAAACCCUAGUAGUCC
rnacentral:rRNA from 1 species